AAUCAACGCUGGCGGCGCGCCUAACACAUGCAAGUCGAACGAGAAAGGGGAGCAAUCCCUGAGUACAGUGGCGCACGGGUGAGUAACACGUGGGUAAUCUACCCUUGGGUGGGGAAUAACCCUGGGAAACCGGGGCUAAUACCGCAUAAGCCCGAGAGGGGAAAGGAGCAAUCCGCCGAAGGAGGAGCCCGCGGCCGAUUAGCUAGUUGGUGAGGUAACGGCUCACCAAGGCUGAGAUCGGUAGCCGGCCUGAGAGGGCACACGGCCACACUGGCAC
rnacentral:rRNA from 1 species